GACGUAGGAGGCGAGCGUUAUCCGGAUUCACUGGGCGUAAAGCGCAUGUAGGCGGAUGUCUAAGUCGUGUGUUAAAGCCCCUGGCUCAACUGGGGAGGGUCACGCGAUACUGUUCGACUCGAAGGCAGGAGAGGGAAGCAGAAUUCCCGGUGUAGUGGUGAAAUGCGUAGAUAUCGGGAGGAAUACCAGUGGCGAAGGCGGCUUCCUGGCCUGUUCUUGACGCUGAGGCGCGAAAGCUAGGGUAGCAAACGGG
rnacentral:rRNA from 1 species